CCUACGGGUGGCAGCAGUGGGGGAUAUUGCACAAUGGGGGAAACCCUGAUGCAGCGACGCCGCGUGUAGGAAGACGGUCCUCUGGAUUGUAAACUACUGUCCCCAGGGACGAAGAUGACGGUACCUGGGGAGGAAGCUCCGGCUAACUACGUGCCAGCAGCCGCGGUAAUAGGUGGGGAGCGAGCGUUGGCCGGAAUUACGGGGGGAAAAGGGAGCGUAGGCGGGGAUGCAAGUUGGGUGUUAAAGCUACCGGCUAAACUGGUUGUCGCACUCGAUACUGCAGCUCUUGAGUGAAGUAGAGGCAGGCGGAAUUCCUAGUGUAGCGGUGAAAUGCGUAGAUAUUAGGAGGAACACCAGUGGCGAAGGCGGCCUGCUGGGCUUUUACUGACGCUGAGGCUCGAAAGUGUGGGGAGCAAACAGGAUUAGAUACCCGUGUAGUC
rnacentral:rRNA from 1 species